CACUGACAUUAGACUACCCCCGUAGUCCCAGCCGUAAACAAUGUGCGUUAGGUGUGUCGGUAACCACGUGUUACUGAUGCGCCGAAGAGAAAUCGUGAAACGCACCACCUGGGAAGUACGGUCGCAAGGCUGAAACUUAAAGGAAUUGGCGGGGAGCACCACAACAGGUGGAGCCUGCGGUUUAAUUGGAUUCAACGCCGGACAUCUCACCGGAUAAGACAGCUGAAUGAUUGUCAAUCUGAAGGUUUUACAUGACUAGCUG
rnacentral:rRNA from 1 species